rnacentral:rRNA from 1 species
ACCCGCACAAGCGGUUGGAUGAUGUGGAUUAAUUCGAUGCAACGCGAAGAACCUUACCUACCCUUGACAUGUCCGGAACUUGCCAGAGAUGGCUUGGUGCCCGAAAGGGAAUCGGAACACAGGUGCUGCAUGGCUGUCGUCAGCUCGUGUCGUGAGAUGUUGGGUUAAGUCCCGCAACGAGCGCAACCCUUAUCAUUAGUUGCUACGCAAGGGCACUCUAAUGAGACUGCCGGUGACAAACCGGAGGAAGUGGGGAUGACGUCAAGUCCUCAUGGCCCUUAUGGGUAGGGCUUCACACGUCAUACAAUGGUCGGUACAGAGGGUUGCCAAGCCGCGAGGCGGAGCCAAUCCCACAAAGCCGAUCGUAGUCCGGAUUGUUCUCUGCAACUCGAGAGCAUGAAGUCGGAAUCGCUAGUAAUCGCAGGUCAGCAUACUGCGGUGAAUACGUUCCCGGGUCUU